rnacentral:lncRNA from 1 species
CUUCAAAAAGUUGAAACUCUUUGAUGUGUUUCCUUUUUUCUUUUUUAAUAGCCCCCAACAGUGGUAACCAAGACAUGUCAGCCUGGUUCAAUCUAUUUGCAGACUUGGAUCCACUUUCAAAUCCAGAUGCCAUUGGACACUCAGAUGAUGAACUUCUUAAUGCUUGACUGAAAUUAUAAUGUCAUUUUGGGGGUCUUGUGACAUCAAUUUUGCAACAUAUUGCUUUUGUGAAAAGGUUUAUAUUGCAAUCCACACACAAAAGCAUGGUGUUGGUGAAUAUAACACCUGUCAGCUGACUUUAGACAGAUGGUAAGGUCCACAUUUGAAUAGAUUAAGUAUAUCUGUAGUAUCUUGGAUUUGCAGAGGUUGAUACUAUGUGGAAAAUUUUAGAAACCACUGAGUCUGCAAUUUUUAGAUAACAAAAUCUAUGUCAAAAUGACAGGGUAAUUCUGCCAAAAAGGACUUGGGAUUAUUCCUCUUGAAAGUGUUUUUAAGUUGCCCUGCUGGCUAUGAGAAUUCUAUAUGUGAAUAAAGGACAGCAUGUAAAUUGGGUUGUGGUUUGGGGUUGGUUUUUAAAUAAAACAGGGAGGGGAUUUCUGUUGUGGAAAAUAGCACCAGACCAGCUUUGUCUUUGAUUAGAAAGGUAGAGUAAGCUUUGAGAACUCAAUUUGCUUUAAAGAAAUCAGAGAAACUUGUACUUGUUUUUCUCCAUCUGGAGGCUAAAAUGUAAAGUUACCUUUCAUUUAUACAAAAUCAUGGACACCCCUAAUUCAUUUAUUAAAUUUUCAUGGGGGAAGUAGCAAGAUGAUUAAUUUGUCAAGCUUAUCCUCUGUAGAAAUGAAAAAAAAAUCUACCCAUUUCAUAAACCACAAGAAUAUGCAGCAAGAUUCAAGACAUUGUACAAAUAUCUUUAGGCCUGAUUUUUCACAUAUUGCUAUAGAGUAAUAUGCAGUAUUCAUUUUCUUCCUGAAAAGAAAACAAGAUUCGCUAACAAACUGGCAAUGGUAUUCCUGAAAUUACUUAAAAACUUCAAUUUUAAACACCUUAUCCUUAUACACAUUUUGCAAUAGUUACCCCAUAUUUCUUAACACAAUUCAACCCAGAAUAUUUUCUGGCAGAGACACAGAAAACUCUACAUGAUCAAUAGAGGAGUGUCCUAUUUUUGCACUGCUCCCUUUCUGUGGGAGACAUCAUCUGAGGCUCUAUUUGACUAUUAAGCAAAAACUAUUACUUAGUUUUAGAACCUAAGUUCUGGAGGUAAAGCUAUUUAAUGGAAGUUAGUGAAAGCUGGUGAAAAUAUAGCUACUGUACACACAUCGCUCAAUUUCCUUUUUUUCCCCCCUGCCCUUUAGUUUUGAGGCAAUUUUCCAACUGUUUUAUUUUUGCCAACCAAUGCAUUGCAACACCAUAAGAAGACAUUUUUCAUUAAAUUGUUCACAGUAGCUUUCAUGUGCUUCUCAUUCUAAACAGGCUUAUUUAGAAGAAAGCUGCUGGUAAUGUCUAAGUCAUUGUAUAUGGUAAACAUUUUUAAGGAAUGGACUGGAGUAGGUAAAAUGCAGCCCACCUCCCAUCCACAGCAGUCUGGCCUACGUACAAAGUUAAAUGCCCAGGAGCUCUCUAGAAAACCUCUACUAUGGCCAACAACUGCACAGGCCAGAAAAACCUUAUCCGAGGGCCAGAAACAUGGACUCAGGAAAAAAGUAUGAAAUCUUUCCUAGUAUCUUUUCACAUUUUUCCUAUAUUUAUCUGUUUUUAAUGAGCUUUAUUAUCUCUACAGAAGCAUUUUUUUAAUUCUUCCUUUUUAGUCAGUGAAAAUUUUCAGAAUGCAGAAGUCAUUAUUUUGCCAAGAUUUAAUCACCAAGAUAAUGAUUAUAAAUCACAAUCUAAAUUCUAUGCCCACAGUGACUCAUGGUGACUAACUUUCAACUUUGAUUGCCUCAAAAAAAUGCUAAUUUUUAUUGUCUUAGGUUUGUGCCAUCUUACUCAGCAGUAGUAGCCUAACACAUUGGUGUGCAAGUAUUAGUAGUACAUGUCUCUCACAUUCAUGGAAAGCAGUCCCCAUCACCUGGUAUAAACAAAGAUACUUCAAUGAGUUGGAAAACCAGUGGUCUCUACAAACCAGGAGCUUAAAUCCCACACAGUUCAUGUGAAGGGAUAACAACCUCAAUUUUCCAAGAGCAAAUGUGACCCCACAUUGAAACGUCAAAGGGUUUCUGUUGUUCAGCUGUUUCCUUUUUCAACAGAGCAUGUAGUUUGCCAUUUAACCCAGAAGCAACACUAACUGCCUCAGCAAAUUUAAUCUAGAAGAUUCAUUCAAAUAAGAAUGAAUCAAUCCUAAACCUAGGGUAGAGCAAGACUAGCUCUUUCAAAAGCGAUACCUUUUAUAUUAAGUGAGGGAAAAACCUAUCUUCUGCUUUCUACCAGAUGAUAAUGCAUUGAAGCUUAGAAAAGCCCCCCAGCAGAACUAAAAUUUAACUCUUUUUAACAGUUUAUAGGAGAGGCAGGAAUACCAAGGCAUAAGAUCACAUAUCAUUGGAACUUUGUAUUUUUUUUUUUUAAAUCUUUCUUUUAAUUGCAGAACAUAGCUCUAAAAAAGAUUAGAAACAUACUAUUUAGACAAAAUAGGUUCUAGUAUCUGCACACUGAAAAAGAAGUUUUUGUAUUUCAACUAUGGAUACUUAUUUCACAUAAUUGUCUUUAUAGAUCAUCUAGAAAUGUAAACUUCUUCGAGGAAUAGAACAAAGGAAAUUUAAAUGCGCUCUAUUUUUCUGAGCCUCUUUUAAUAAAGAUUGCAAGGUGGCAUAAAACAAAAAAGUUUGUUUCCUGAAAUGUUCGAUACAAUCCAAUUUUUGUUUCCCUAUUUUAAAACAUGGGUUUCACCCCAGGGUUUCACAAAUGAAAUUGAUAAGAAUGAAAAGAGAAUUCAGAAUGACAAUAAAACCACAGCAAUUCAUGACCUUGUUAAGACUGAUUUACCUCAAACUG